rnacentral:lncRNA from 1 species
GAGAUGGAGUCCCAUUCUGUUACGCAGGCUGGAGUACAAUGGCGCCAUCUCGGCUCACUGCCACCUCUGCCUCCUGGGUUCAAGUAAUUCUCCUGCCUCAGCUUCCUGAGUAGCUGGGAUGGGAGGUGGGAUGGGCGCGCACCACCACGCCCGGUUAAUUUUUGUGUUUUUAGCAGAGAGGGGGUUUCGUCACGUUGGCCAGGCUGGUCGUGGACUCCUGACCUGAGGUGAUCCACCUGCCUCGGCCUCCCAAAGUGCUGGGAUUAGAGGCAUGAGCCACCGCAUCCGGCUGGUUCUCAGGCUUUAAAUGUAUGCAUAUCCCCUGGGAAGUUUCUAACAAUUCUGAUGCCCGGGUUGCCCACCCCCAAGACCAGUCACAGAAGAAUCUAUGGGAGUGGAACCCCGACUCUGGUAUUUGAGGCCAGGGACCAAGGACAGCAGACCCGGCCACAGCAGACGCUGUUGGAUUGGAUGAGGCUCCUGCUUUACAUUUGUAAUCAGCAUGCCUAUACGCCAGGUCCAAGCGUGGCGUUUUUUAAAAUGUCCCCAUUCCUUUCAGUGGCUGUGACGUGAACAGUCCCAGACAACCAGGCGCCAAUGGAGAAGGAGAGGAAGAGGCUAGAGAUGGGCAGACCCCUUUGCAUUUGGCAGCCUCUUGGGGGCUGGAAGAGACAGUACAGUGUCUUCUGGAGUUUGGUGCCAACGUGAACGCACAGGUGUGUCGUUUCUCUUUUCCGGGGAGAGAGGUGUAGCCCCAGCAUGAGGGAAGCCUCCUCCUAUGGCAGAGGACCUUGCACAGUCCCCAGUUCCAGGCGCUGCUGCUUCAUGAACACACGACCUCCCUAGCAGCGUUCAUGAUUUCAGGCUGACUGUGCUUCUCUGUGCCUUUGUCCUUACUACAACAGGAGGAAGAUUUGUUUCAGCUCUUUCUCUUUGCCUCCUAUUCCCCCUUAGUUACAGAUUUCCUCUGAGAGUUUAGUCCCAAAUCGCAUACUGUAUUUAGGAAAAUGUCCCAGUAGCUCACUUGAGCACCCCUGAGUUACGCCCUUUGAUGCUUUUCAACAUUCGAGCCUGUGCAGAUUUAUAUAUAAGGCCCUAUAGCCAGAUAAGGAGUGGUGGCUUAGAGCGGAGACUCACUGCAGAUGUGAAACACAUGUUUGUGCUGGUCCUACGGUCACCACUGGGUCACUGGAACGUGGUGUAACAGGAAGUGACAUUUAGUCAUUUCUCUUUGGCCUCUUCAAAAGCUGAGUCAAACACAGGGUGGUAGUAUUGAUCGAUUCUCAUAACUGAAAUUUGAUUUAAAAGUUAUACCCUUUCAUAUUUUUCCUGAGUUUUAUCUUGCAAUUGAACAUUAAAUUCUGUGCCUUGUUCCAUAGGAUGCAGAAGGAAGAACCCCCAUCCACGUGGCCAUCAGCAGCCAACACGGUGUCAUCAUUCAGCUGUUGGUUUCUCACCCCGAUAUCCAUUUGAAUGUACGAGACAGACAAGGGCUGACCCCGUUUGCCUGUGCCAUGACUUUCAAGAACAACAAGUCAGCCGAGGCCAUUCUCAAACGAGAGUCCGGGGCUGCUGAGCAGGUGAGUGAAUAACACCUGACCUUCUCCACAUGGUCCUGGGCGUCGCGGAACCUGGAGACUAGACAGAUGUCACCGACUAAACAGGUCUCCUCAUGGAAAGAGCUUUGUUUUGAAGUUGUACUCCUGUCCUAAGAUGUGGCUGUUGAGAUGUCCCAUCCGUGCAGGAUGAGAUCCGGCUCCUCUGCCUGUGUGUCAGCGCCUGACAGUGCCCGGCUUCGAUGGAAGCGGAGGCAGUGGGCUCCAUCGUAGGAAUUCUGUGGCAUGUACAGUUGAGCUCAUUCUUUGCUUUUGCUAGGUUGGUUAACUGUCCUAGUGAGGAGUGUCUUUGAAAGAGCUUGUGUUGUGAUGUUGGGGCAACUUCCUGAGUGUUUCCGAGGAGUUCAGUUGCUCAGUAGCCUCGGCUGUCCUUGUUCUUUGUGGUUCUUUACCAGCUGCUACAUCGGGAUGGUGAACUGUUGAUCUGCAACAAGCAGUUGGCUGGGAAAUGACAAUCACAACUGAUCUGAGUAGGAGGGGGUGGGUUUAUCAGGUCAGUCCUGCAGGAACUUGGCUCUCCAGCCAGCACCUAGAGUACUGGCGCAUUUAUCAGUGGCAUUCAUGAAGGUGAGAUGGAACUUGGGACCCGCGUGAAGUGAGAUCCUCGCAUGGGUGGAGAUGAUUGCUUGGUGUCUUAGGCUUCCGUAACCACCGUCUUCAGCAUUUUCACAAGUGUGACUGGAUUGCGUAGGUGGUGACCUCACGUUUGCUCAGGUGGUGUGAAAUGGCCUCUCCCGUUUCUUCUCUCCAGUGUGAAACUGGACUGCUGAUGAAAGCGCUUUGUGGAUCCGCUGCUUAUGAGACUGGCACGUGCCGUGUGUGACGUGUGGGCCUGUGAAGCGGCGUGCCGUGUGUGUGGCACUGGGGUCGCCCUCGCUGCCGCCUCCACACUCAUGCUAAGACGGCUCUGGGAACUACAGGAGACGGUGUGCUUUGAUU